AGUGAACGCUGGCGGUAGGCCUAACACAUGCAAGUCGAACGGCAGCACAGUAAGAGCUUGCUCUUACGGGUGGCGAGUGGCGGACGGGUGAGGAAUACAUCGGAAUCUACAUUUUCGUGGGGGAUAACGUAGGGAAACUUACGCUAAUACCGCAUACGACCUACGGGUGAAAGUAGGGGAUCUUCGGACCUUGCGCGAUUGAAUGAGCCGAUGUCGGAUUAGCUCGUUGGCGGGGUAAAGGCCCACCAAGGCGACGAUCCGUAGCUGGUCUGAGAGGAUGAUCAGCCACACUGGAACUGAGACACGGUCCAGACUCCUACGGGAGGCAGCAGUGGGGAAUAUUGGACAAUGGGCGCAAGCCUGAUCCAGCCAUACCGCGUGGGUGAAGAAGGCCUUCGGGUUGUAAAGCCCUUUUGUUGGGAAAGAAAAGCAGCAGGUUAAUACCCCGCUGUUCUGACGGUACCCAAAGAAUAAGCACCGGCUAACUUCGUG
rnacentral:rRNA from 1 species